rnacentral:tRNA from 1 species
CCAUAGCUCAAUUGGUAGAGCAUCCGGCUUUUAACCGGGUGGCUGAAGGUUCAAUUCCUUCUGGAC